rnacentral:rRNA from 1 species
GAUGAACGCUGACAGAAUGCUUAACACAUGCAAGUCAACUUGAAUUUGGGUUUUUAACUUAGAUUUGGGUGGCGGACGGGUGAGUAACGCGUAAAGAACUUGCCUCACAGCUAGGGACAACAUUUAGAAAUGAAUGCUAAUACCUGAUAUUAUGAUUUUAAGGCAUCUUAGAAUUAUGAAAGCUAUAAGCACUGUGAGAGAGCUUUGCGUCCCAUUAGCUAGUUGGAGAGGUAACAGCUCACCAAGGCGAUGAUGGGUAGCCGGCCUGAGAGGGUGAACGGCCACAAGGGGACUGAGACACGGCCCUUACUCCUACGGGAGGCAGCAGUGGGGAAUAUUGGACAAUGGACCGAGAGUCUGAUCCAGCAAUUCUGUGUGCACGAUGAAGUUUUUCGGAAUGUAAAGUGCUUUCAGUUGGGAAGAAAGAAAUGACGGUACCAACAGAAGAAGUGACGGCUAAAUACGUGCCAGCAGCCGCGGUAAUACGUAUGUCACGAGCGUUAUCCGGAUUUAUUGGGCGUAAAGCGCGUCUAGGUGGUUAUGUAAGUCUGAUGUGAAAAUGCAGGGCUCAACUCUGUAUUGCGUUGGAAACUGUAUAACUAGAGUACUGGAGAGGUAAGCGGAACUACAAGUGUAGAGGUGAAAUUCGUAGAUAUUUGUAGGAAUGCCGAUGGGGAAGCCAGCUUACUGGACAGAUACUGACGCUAAAGCGCGAAAGCGU